rnacentral:rRNA from 1 species
AACGAACGCUGGCGGCAUGCCUAACACAUGCAAGUCGAACGAGACUUCGGUCUAGUGGCGGACGGGUGAGUAACGCGUAGGAACCUGCCAAGUAGUGGGGAAUAACAGUUGGAAACGACUGCUAAUACCGCAUACGCCCUUCGGGGGAAAGAUUUAUCGCUAUCUGAGGGUCCUGCGUUCGAUUAGCUAGUUGGCGGGGUAACGGCCCACCAAGGCGACGAUCGAUAGCUGGUCUGAGAGGAUGAUCAGCCACACUGGGACUGAGACACGGCCCAGACUCCUACGGGAGGCAGCAGUGGGGAAUAUUGGACAAUGGGGGAAACCCUGAUCCAGCAAUGCCGCGUGCGUGAAGAAGGCCUUAGGGUUGUAAAGCGCUUUCACCUGUGAUGAUGAUGACAGUAACAGGAGAAGAAGCCCCGGCUAACUCCG